CCACUCCGCCAAGACGGACGUGGCGGAGUCCACGCGUCUCAUUAAAGCUAGUCAAAACAACAGGCAUCUAUAAUCUAAACCUGUCAGCCCUCGGUGUAAUGGCGGAUUUGCAGCGAAGGGUUUUUACAAGGUUCAGAUGGAGGCAAGGAAGCCCCGCCUCCUUCCCUCUGCUGUACCGAAGACCUCAACAUACUGCAGUGACAACACAAAUAUUGAGCCGUUUUGUGGCGUCUUGUCACUUUAAAUCUAAAUAAGCUGCUGCUGGCCACGCCCCCCAAUACAACGUUUAGACUUGCAUGUGAAAAUGGCUGCCAACAGAUGCACAUUUAUACAACAGUACAUCUUUGAAAAUCAGAAGUGGAGCCUCCUGUACAACCAGCAAGAAAGCAGGAAGUGGUUUCUGGGUGGAAUCAGAAUCACCUGCACAACACAGGGGGCAGCGACUCCCCAAAUAAUGAGCAACAUAAAGCUUGUUAGGGCAUUUUACUUUGUUUCUAGCUCCUGAGCCACCCCCAACAAGAUGCUGCUCCGGGCA